CUCAACCUCGAGAUUGCUUUUGAAACCAGCGGGCUUGAGUGCAGGAGAGGAAAGUGGAAUUCCCAGUGUAGCGGUGAAAUGCGUAGAUAUUGGGAGGAACACCAGUGGCGAAAGCGGCUUUCUGGCCUGUAACUGACGCUGAGGCGCGAAAGCGUGGGGAGCAAACAGGAUUAGAUACCCUGGUAGUCCACGCCGUAAACGAUGGGUGCUAAGUGUUGGGGGUAUCGACCCCCUCAGUGCUGUAGUUAACGCAAUAAGCACCCCGCCUGGGGAGUACGGUCGCAAGACUGAAACUCAAAGGAAUUGACGGGGGCCCGCACAAGCGGUGGAGCAUGUGGUUUAAUUCGACGCAACGCGAAGAACCUUACCAGGGAUUGACAUCCCCUGACCGGAUAUGAAAGUAUCCUUUCACCUUCGGGUGACAG
rnacentral:rRNA from 1 species